GUGCCAGCAGCCGCGGUAAUACGAAGGUCCCAAGCGUUGUUCGGAAUCACUGGGCGUAAAGGGAGCGUAGGCGGCGUGGUAAGUCAGAUGUGAAAUCCCGGGGCUCAACCCCGGAACUGCAUCCGAUACUGCCAUGCUAGAGUGAUGGAGAGGUAGCUGGAAUUCUUGGUGUAGCAGUGAAAUGCGUAGAGAUCAAGAGGAACACUCGUGGCGAAAGCGAGCUACUGGACAUUUACUGACGCUGAGGCUCGAAGGCCAGGGUAGCGAAAGGGAUUAGAUACCCCUGUAGUCC
rnacentral:rRNA from 1 species